rnacentral:lncRNA from 1 species
AGGGUGGGUUUUCCUUCUCUGGGGAUUAUCUGGGUUUUGGAGCUUGCUGAGGGUGCUAACUUGUUCUACAGUUUGGUUUUUGUGCUUGGGUUGCAGAUUCAUUUACAUUAGAGGUUUUGGUGGGGAUUGGGGAACUUGGGGUUGUUUACCUGGUGGUCCUGGUGGUGAUCUUUUUGUUCUUUUGCUUUUGUGUGAUUAGGUCUGGGUUUUGUGGGUAUGUGGUGAAGAACUGAUGCUUGUUUGGGGCUGUUUGUUUGCUCUUCUAUCUUCUGAAGGUUUGGUGGUGGUUUUGACUGCUUCCAUGUGUGAGAAUGGCCUAAAGUUUGGAUCUUGGAAGGGAUUGUUUGAGGGUUUCAUGGUGGCCUCCGUUCUUUGUGCUUUGAGUUCUUCUGAGUUCUCAGUUUCUUGAGCGAUAGUUCAAUUUGCGACCUUGUGUGUCUUUUUCGGGUGAUGUGUUGGUGGGCUUUUGAUUCUUGAGCACGGUUGUGCCUGGAAACAUUCUGGUAUUUUGGGGGGAUUGGGGUGUGCUCUCGAGUUGGUCUCGGCUUGCAGUUGACGGUUUUUAUUUUGGAUCAGGUU